CUCCCUCUCUCUCAUUCCCCCGAGCCCCCUCCCUCUCCCUCGAUCCACCCCGCCAGAGCCGCCCCCCUCCGCUCCCUUCGGCCAUCCCUCCGCCCCCGGCCGGCCGCCGCCACCCGCUCGUGCGCCCCGGACGACCUUGUGCCCCCCCACCCCACAGACGGCGCCCCCGACGGUCGGGCCCCCGCCACCCGACUCCCACGGCGUGCCACCGCGGACGGACAGGGCCGGAUCCGGCAACCCUCGGCGUUGCUCCGCCGGAUCGGGCCACCACCAGCCUUCCUCGGCCGCGUCGCCGCCGUCCGCCAUGGAGUCGACGGCACAGUGAUGGAGCCGACGGCGCCAUCAUGGAGUUGAAGAUCUUGGUCGGUCCAGGCCCGGUCCCGAGAUUUCGGGGGUCCGGUGCGAAAUUAGUACUCGGUGCCCUCUAAGGGCCCUUAAUAAAAUAUAUUAAUAAUAAAUAAUGUGUGUGUAUGUAAAAUUUCACCUAAGAAACUAAUAAUGAAUCUAAAAUUACAUUUAUAUCAAAAGGUUCAUAUAUAUUACCUUAAAAAUUUCUUCUAACAUUCUUUGAUGCAAAGUCUUUGAUGAUGUUAUGAAUAUCAAUUCCAUCCACCAAUUUCUUCUCGAUGCAUAAAGUUGCCAAACCAUUUAACCUCUCUUGAGAGAUUAUAGACGUUAACUAGUUCUUUAACAAUUUCAACUGCUGCCACCAAUUUCUUCCUUUUCCUUUUCUCACGAUAUUUUCUAGACGACAAAUGGCUUCAUAAUUCUGAAAUUUAACGAGACUAGAUAAAUUCACAAUCAAAAAUAGAAAAUUAGCACAGAGAAUUAAUAAAGAUUAAAGAUGGCUAGAUGCCUUGAUUGAUAAGAUGCUCACCGUGAUUAACACCUAUGAUUAUCAGGUCCCAUGAGGCCGUGAUUAAUCACCAACUCCUGGCGAUGCGAUGCAGCCCCUGUCCCUGAUAAAGCGAGCGAUGCAGCAGCAGCAGACGCAGUCACGCAGAUGAGUAGAGCCGGGGCCUACUUGCAGAUAGGGCUGGGCGGGCAGACAUGCAGAGCGCAGCGCAGGCCGGCCAGGGUCAGGCCGUCAGUGGCGGUGUUCGGUCAAGGAGGCGAAGGGUCUCGUAGUCGGGGACAGCAACGGAGCGAUCUGCGAUAGGGUGGGAGUCGAUCGGCCAAAAGAAGUUACGAUUUGUUCUGGGCUGGCCCAUUUACCAACAUAUGUAUAUAACAGGCCUAUAUAUGUAGGGCCCCCUCCAAAGUUCGAGGCCCAGUGCGGGGGCACCGCUUGCAUCCCCCAGGGCCGGGCCUGGGUCGGUCUCCUAGCCCUCUCUGUCUCUCUCCGCAGUCCCGAUUUUCCUCUCACUCUCUCUUUCUCUGACAUCUGCAUGGGUGCCAAGGAGCUGCCGCCGAUGCUUGCGGUGCGGUGAAGUCGAUGGGCUACUACAGGAGCGUGCCUGUCGUCGGAGAGCUUUGGAUCGACCCCGAUGGCGACGGCUUCGACCAGUUCAUCUCGUUCUGUUUUGAAUGUAUCUUUUCUUGUCAAGUGUAUGUUAAUCCCCUAUUCUGGAUCUACAGAUAGAGACAUUUGGUUAAGGUAUUUGAUUUGCGAGACAUUUGAUUAAUUUGUGUGAAUUGUGAUUUGGUGAAUCGGGCCUGUGACCUGCUUUUUUUAAUUGAAUGAAAAGCUAUCACUGUCGA